GACAACAGUGUUCUUUUUUUACACUGAUGGUGUGUAUCAGCGGAUGCUUGCACCACUCUUGUGCACCCAAUAAUUUGCUUCAUUAAACAGCCAAUCAAAUCUGCCCCUGACAUGUGCCCUCCUACUGUUCAGUGAAUGAAGAGAAAUUAUUAUCUCAAGUCCUCCUCUUAUCUGUACAGUUUGAGUUUUACAGCGCAGAGGACAAACAGGGUCUCAGGCAGAGGAGAGUCUCCAGAAGAGGAGAGUUCAGAUACAGUGAUGCCACCACUCUGUGCUGUUCUUGUGCUUUUCAGCAAAGUCUAUGGUCUGCUUGGGAAUAUAAUUCAGCCUGACACGCUGGUGCGAGCUCAGAUCGGAGACACUGUGACUCUCCCAUGCUUCUACUCUGAAAACGUUUUUGAUAUCAGUUGGUAUAAGCAGCCUCUUGGACAGAAGAUUCAGCACAUUGCAGUGCAAGUUGUAAAUAAAAAAGAAAAGGAUCAAUUUUUCGAUGAGUUUAACAACAGUAAACGCUUCAGUGCUAAAGGAACAAAGGGGAUCUUUAACCUGACUGUGUCACGAGUAGAGCCAUCAGAUUCAGCCACAUAUCACUGCGCUAUGACGUCCUACAGAGAGACCAUCUUUGGAAAUGGAACGACUUUAAUGGUGAUGGGUUCAGAGUCACACAACAGGACAGUAGUACUACAGCAGCCCGAGUCUGAGUCAGUGCAGUCAGGAGACUCUGUGACUCUGCAGUGUACAGUACACACUGAGACCUGUGCAGGAGAACACAGUGUGUACUGGUUCAGACAGAGCACAGGAGAGUCCCCUCCAGGAAUCAUUUCCACCCAUGGAACCAGGAGUGAUGAGUGCCAGAGGAGCUCUGGGUCUGUGUCUCCCACACAGAGCUGUGUCUACAACUUCCCCAAGAGGAACCUCAGCCCCUCUGAUGCUGGGACUUACUACUGUGCUGUGGCCACCUGUGGGGAGAUCCUGUUUGGGAACGGGACCAUGCUGAAUGUUGAGGGAGGUGAAUUAUCCAUGCUUGUCUGGCUCUCGAUCAUACGGACUGGAGUUCUCUGUUGCAUGUUGCCCAUAUUUGUCCUCAUCUAUUGCAAAAAGGCAUAAAUAAUGAUGAUAUUAUGGGAUUCAUACCAUUAAAUCAGCGAAUCAUAUUCAUAUUAAUACCUCCUUCUGGGUAUUCUUUUUCUCCUUCUUCUUAUAAUGACUUUUUUCCAGAACACAAUCCCUGUUUACAAAUUACCCUGGUGUAUGAAUCCUAAUUUUGGCAUAAUAGCAUAUGACAGCUGAUGUUACUCAAACAGUGUAAUGCAAUUAAAAUGAAUUUCAAUCA